GACGAACGCUGGCGGCGUGCUUAACACAUGCAAGUCGAACGGAAAGGCCCUGCUUUUGUGCGGUCCUCUAGUGGCCACCGGGUGAUUAACCCUUCUGUACCCUCCCCUUCUCUUUGGUUUACCUUCAGGAAACUGGGGCUAUUACCGGAUAGGAUCUCCUGCUGCAUGGUGGGGGUUGGAAAUUUUCGGCGGUUGGGGAUGGACUCGCGGCUUAUCCGCUUGUUGGUGGGGUAGUUGCUUACCAAGGCUUUGCCGGGUAGCCGGCAUGAGAGGGUGACCGGCGACAAUGGGAAUGAGAUACGGCACAGAGUCCAACGGGAGGCAGCAGUGGGGAAUAUUGCAGAAUGGGCGGAAGCCUGAUGCAGAAACGCCGCGUGCGGGAUGACGGCCUUCGGGUUGUAAACCGCUUUCGCCUGUGACGAAGAGAGAGUGACGGUAAUGGGUAAAGAAGCACCGGCUAACUACGUG
rnacentral:rRNA from 1 species